AUAUCAAUAAGCGGAGGAAAAGAAACUUACCAGGAUUCCCCUAGUAGCGGCGAGCGAACCGGGAAGAGCCCAAAUUUAAAAUCUCCAGCUUUCAGCUGGCGAAUUGUAGUCUCUAGAGGCAUUAUCUUCAGCUAGCCGAUCCAAAGUUCCCCUGGAAAGGGACGUCCAAGAGGGUGAGAACCCCGUAGGUGAGGUGAAGCUGUAUCACGAUGUGCUUUCGCAGAGUCGGGUUGCUUGGGAAUGCAGCCCAAAGUAGGUGGUAAAUCCCAUCUAAGGCUAAAUACUGGCGGGAGACCGAUAGCGCACAAGUA
rnacentral:rRNA from 1 species